AGCUUUGCGCAGUGGCAGUAUCAUAGCCAAUGAGGUUUAUCCGAGGCGCGAUUAUUGCUAAUUGAUCCCAUAGGAGCUCUGGAGCUAAGGGUGGCCCUUCAUAAUUAUCCAAAAUUGAGGCAAGGGUCUAGGCUU